rnacentral:rRNA from 1 species
GAUGAACGCUAGCUACAGGCUUAACACAUGCAAGUCGAGGGACGGGCACACGGGGGCGUAACACGUAUCCAACCUGACCCUUACCAUGGGAGAGGCUUUCGAAAGAAAGAUUAAUACCAGAAGAUAAGGAUGGGGAUGCGUUCCAUUCGGUUGUGUGUGAGGUAACGGUAAACCAAGCCUUCGUUGGAUAGGGGUGCUGAGAGUAAGGUCCCCCACAAUGGAACUGCGACACGGUCCAAACUCCUACGGGAGGCAGCAGUGAGGAAUAUUAGUCAAUGGGCGUUAGCCUGAACCAGCCAAGUAGCGUGAAGAAUGAAGGCUUAUGGGUCGUAAAUUUCUUUUAUAUAAGAAGAUGUAUUAUAUGAAUAAGGAUCGGCUAACUCCGUGCCAGCAGCCGCGGUAAUUC